UACGGAAGGCAGCAGUGGGGAAUAUUGCACAAUGGGCGCAAGCCUGAUGCAGCCAUGCCGCGUGUAUGAAGAAGGCCUUCGGGUUGUAAAGUACUUUCAGUCGUGAGGAAGGUGUUAAGGUUAAUAACCUUAGCAAUUGACGUUAGCGACAGAAGAAGCACCGGCUAACUCCGUGCCAGCAGCCGCGGUAAUACGGAGGGUGCGAGCGUUAAUCGGAAUUACUGGGCGUAAAGGGCACGCAGGCGGUUAAUAAGUUGGAUGUGAAAUCCCCGGGCUUAACCUGGGAAUGGCAUUCAAGACUGGUUAGCUAGAGUCUUGUAGAGGGGGUAGAAUUCCAUGUGUAGCGGUGAAAUGCGUAGAGAUGUGGAGGAAUACCGGUGGCGAAGGCGGCCCCUGGGACAAAGACUGACGCUCAUGUGCGAAAGCGUGGGGAGCAAACGAGGAUUAGAUACC
rnacentral:rRNA from 1 species